rnacentral:rRNA from 1 species
UACGUAGGGGGCAAGCGUUGUCCGGAUUUACUGGGCGUAAAGCGCGCGUAGGCGGAACGAUCAGUCCGGUCUGAAAGCCCCCGGCUCAACCGGGGAGGGUGGCUGGAAACUGUCGUUCUUGAGGGCGAGAGAGGAGCGCGGAAUUCCCGGUGUAGCGGUGAAAUGCGUAGAGAUCGGGAGGAAGGCCGGUGGCGAAGGCGGCGCUCUGGAACGUUACUGACGCUGAGACACGAAAGCGUGGGGAGCAAACAGG